UGUGGAUGAAGUCUCCUCCCCGUUAUCAUGAUUCAUGAGAAAGUUGUGAAACAUGAAAAUGAGGUACAGUGUUUCUUUUGAACAGCCUAAAGAGAAGAGCAAACAUAGCUUCAGGAGAAAUAUCGCCAAAUACUUGUGUUUUUCUUCUAUUGUCAAAAGCUUCAGUAAAACAUAAAUCUUUAUUAAAAUUCUUCUAUUAUUCAGAGACAGCUGGACUAAUUCUGAACUCAGGAUCUUUAAGUCUGAAACGAUGAGCCAUUCAGACAGUGGCAAUGUGGGGGAAGAUGAAGUUUUUGAACCUCAACAUGAACAAGUAAACAGAGGGUCAAAGGUCACCACAAAAAUAGGGGCGGUGGUGGUUGUCUGUGUUCUCCUGGCAACUGCUGUCUUUUUGACGUUCUGCUUCUGGUGAUUUACUGGAACAACAAAGAACCAGACAACUGGUUCCUCAUACCAGCAACUGGUAUGAGGAAAAUCCUGAUGGAGAAGUCUGUGACAGGACGGAGGUAAAAGGUGGCGCUCCUGGCCUGAAGUGUUGGUUUGAUAAAUGGUGCACUAUACCUCAAAGAAAUAACUUAACUGGACAGUUUGUAUUUGGUUUACAUCAAGUUCAGCGUACAAAACAAUCUAAGUACAGGGUAGAGAUAGUGAAAUGACACUUUCCAACUCUGAUGUCACAAACACUUAAAAGAAACUUCAAGGAAAAAAUUAAAGAGAAGAGUUGAAUAAUAUAACAUGAAAAACCUAUCCUUCUAAUUGCUUUACCUGCUUAAUCAAUUAAAUGUUGGUGGGGGGAGAAGGAGGGGGUGGGGUGUAGUCCCAAGUGCCAGAAAGCGAGCGGAGGAGUACGCCCUCAACAGGUCACCAGUUACAUGCCAGAUAUAUUAAUAUUUUAUGUCUUAUAUCUUUUGUCUUCAUUUACAUUAUUAUUAUGAGCCGCUGUUCUCGUGCUUUCUGUGAAACAGUUUCCAACCAUUUAUUUUUUUCUAAUUUUUUUAAGCUUUUGCAAAAACAAUUUCCUGGAAAAGUUUGAAUGACACUGAUCCAGAAAAAAAAAAAAAAAACAAUUGUGCUUGAUGGAAAUAAACACCUCCAGUCUGUUGA